CUGCACGACCUGUACUUCAGUCACCAGACACUCCUCCAGGCCGGCUUUGCCCGCCUCCCAGACCACCUGCAGAGACGAGAGGAGGCAGGGGUCACACUGGAAACAAGCGACGCUCGCGGACGCCCUCGAGGGCUCACCUUCUGCAGAUCACGAAGACACAGACCAGGGCCAGCAGCGUCCCCAGCGCGAUCAGCAGCGACGUCCGCCAGGCCACCUGAGUACCAGGACCGGGAGCGACUUCCGGACCUCCCAGCCCCAGUCUGGAACCCUAAGGGAGCGGAAAGACCACCAGGGAUCCCUGUCUGCCUGGUGCUCGGGACACGGGGAGCGCCAGGGACUUCCACUGUGCCCAGCAGGCCGGCAGAGACCGGGUUUCACCGUGUUAGCCGGGAUGGUCUCGAUCUCCUGACCUUGUGAUCCGCCCGCCUCGGUCUUUAUUACAAGGCCCAGGGGGUGUCUGUCAGUGGGACGACCUUGUUUCCCCUCCACGUCUCCUCUCGUGAGAUUGAGUAGCUGGAAGGAGGUUCUGUCUCUGACCUGUGGUUUGAAAGAAAAUAAAGAAGAGGGGCCAGAUACUUCAAAUUACUUCUCCUAUGCAUUUGGAGAGCGGGAGAGAAAAACACCAGGAAGGAAGAGGGAACAAAGAAACUCUACAGGCAGAGACACAGGACUGAGCCGCGUUGGGGGCACUGGGAGGAGUGAGCCUUGGGGUUGCACCCUCGGAGCCCCACUGUCCUGGGAGCAGCCUUCAGAACCACCCUUUUGUUCUCUGAAGUACCAGGCGUUCAGCUUUUCCAAGGACUGGCAGCUGCACAUCUUUGUCCCUGCCCCUUCCAUCUCUAGGCUCAGCCCCGCUGGGCAGCCUGGCCCACUCCCCACCCCUGCCCAGGGCCAACCCCUACUUCCCAUGCCCCCUCUGCCCACCUGCAGCACACUGGAGCCUUGGAGGCCCUCUCUGCAUCAUUCAAGAUGCAGACUCCUACACUUUGACCUGCACACAUCCUCCUGAAGCUUCCACUUCCUGGCCCCUGCCUGGCUUCUCACCUCCCCCACCUCCGCCCCCCAGGGGAUGUGCCGCCUCUCCCAGUGGCCCAGGACAUCCUCCACUUCCCGGGAACCCCAGGCACUUCCACAUCCUCAGACACAGUGAGAAGAUGACCCUCUCUCCAAGCCAGGAAGAGACCUCCCGAGGAGCCCAGCCAGCCAGCACGCUGACCUCCAACGUCCAGCCUCUGGAAAUGGGAUACCGAAGGCUGCGCUCCUGCCCCGCACCAGGAUGUGGGAACUUUGAGAACCGCUGGAGAGUCGAGAGAUGUCAUCGAAACGACACCCGAUACGUGUUCCCUGAGCAUCCGUUUUGUAGUGAAGACACUCGUACUGUUGACGCCUGCUGCGGUAAGCGGAGACAGGGCAGGGCGAUCAGGAGCAGCGUGAGCCAAAGGAGGACCAUCGGGAACGCAGCUCCGGAACGCAGGACAGAGGUGCCUGCUGCAGGAGAAACGAGAGUCAGGCAGCGGGGACUGGCUGUGAAACUGGGUUGCGGGUAAUGAAGGAUGCUUGCCCCUUCCAGAGCCUGGUGCUCACAGCAGAAGGAGCUGCUUCUGGAGGGAAAGCGGUGAACAUUGUCACGACCCCAAAAGGAGACUCCAGACCCAUUAAAGACCCGUCCUUCCUCUUCCCCAGCCUGUGGCAACCACUCAUCCACUUUCUGUCUCUGUGGAUUUGCCUGUAUCUGGACAUAGGGAAUAAAUGGAAUCAUACAGACACUAUGUAUCUUUUUGUAUCUGGCCUCUCUCAGGAAGCAUGAUGUCCUCAGCAUUCACCCACAUUGCCACCUGUGGCAGAGCCUCGUUCCUUUUCAUGGCUGUGUAAUAUUCCACCGUGUGGCUGGACCACAUUAUAUUUCUCCAUUCAUCUAUAGAUGGGUAUGAGGACUCUCUCCACCUCUUGGCUAGUGUGAAUAAAGCUGCUUAUUCCUUUUCAUGGCUGUGUAAUAUUCCACCGUGUGGCUGGACCACAUUAUAUUUCUCCAUUCAUCUAUAGAUGGGGUAUGAGGGCUGUCUCCACCUCUUGGCUAUUGUGAAUAAAGCUGCUUGUUCCUUUUCAUGGCUGUGUAAUAUUCCACUGUGUGGAUGGACAUUAUAUUUUUCCAUUCAUCUAUAGAUGGGUAUGAGGGCUGUCUCCACCUCUUGGCUAUUGUGAAUAAAGCUGCUUGUUCCUUUUCAUGGCUGUGUAAUAUUCCACUGUGUGGAUGGACAUUAUAUUUCUCCCUUCAUCUAUAGAUGGGGGUAUGAGGGCUGUCUCCACCUCUUGGCUAUUGUGAAUAAAGCUGCUUGUUCCUUUUCAUGGCUGUAUAAUAUUCCACUGUGUGUCUGGACCACAUUAUAUUUCUCCAUUCAUCUAUAGAUGGGUACGAGGGCUGUCUCCACCUCUUGGCUAUUGUGAAUAAAGCUGCUUGUUCCUUUUCAUGGCUGUAUAAUAUUCCACUGUGUGGCUGGACCACAUUAUAUUUCUCCAUUCAUCUAUAGAUGGGUAUGAGGGCUGUCUCCACCUCUUGGCUAUUGUGAAUAAAGCUGCUUGUUCCUUUUCAUGGCUGUGUAAUAUUCCACUGUGUGGCUGGACCACAUUAUAUUUAUCCAUUCGUCUAUAGAUGGGUAUGAGGGCUGUCUCCACCUCUUGGCUAUUGUGAAUAAAGCUGCUUGUUCCUUUUCAUGGCUGUGUAAUAUUCCACCGUGUGGCUGGACCACAUUAUAUUUAUCCAUUCGUCUAUAGAUGGGUAUGAGGGCUGUCUCCACCUCUUGGCUAUUGUGAAUAAAGCUGCUUGUUCCUUUUCA
rnacentral:lncRNA from 1 species